ensembl:snRNA U4 U4 spliceosomal RNA
AGCUUUGUGCAGUGGCAGUAUCGUAGCCAGUGAGGUUUAUCCAAGGCACAAUUAUUGCUAAUUGAAAGCAGUCCAUCUAUUAUUUACAUUUAGUCCAUAGCACCUAAGAGCCAGGUGGAACUUGAAGGAAGCUCUAGUGAGAG